rnacentral:rRNA from 1 species
CCUACGGGAGGCAGCAGUGGGGAAUAUUGGACAAUGGGGGGAACCCUGAUCCAGCGACGCCGCGUGAGUGAAGAAGUAUUUCGGUAUGUAAAGCUCUAUCAGCAGGGAAGAAAGAAAUGACGGUACCUGACUAAGAAGCCCCGGCUAACUACGUGCCAGCAGCCGCGGUAAUACGUAGGGGGCAAGCGUUAUCCGGAUUUACUGGGUGUAAAGGGGGCGUAGACGGCGAUGCAAGUCUGAAGUGAAAGGCGGGGGCCCAACCCCCGGACUGCUUUGGAAACUGUAUGGCUGGAGUGCAGGAGAGGUAAGUGGAAUUCCUAGUGUAGCGGUGAAAUGCGUAGAUAUUAGGAGGAACACCAGUGGCGAAGGCGGCUUACUGGACUGUAACUGACGUUGAGGCUCGAAAGCGUGGGGAGCAAACAGGAUUAGAUACCCCAGUAGUC